AACGUAGGUGGCGAGCGUUAUCCGGAAUUACUGGGCGUAAAGCGUGUGCAGGCGGGCUAGCAAGUGGGGUAUGAAAGCUCCCGGCUUAACUGGGAGGGUGCGCCGAAUACUGCAAGGCUUGAGUACUGGAGAGGAUAGCGGAAUUCCUGGUGUAGCGGUGAAAUGCGUAGAUAUCAGGAGGAACACCGGCGGUGUAGACGGCUGUCUGGACAGUAACUGACGCUGAAACACGAAAGCGUGGGGAGCAAACAGG
rnacentral:rRNA from 1 species